rnacentral:rRNA from 1 species
ACCAGACUCCUACGGGAGGCAGCAGUGGGGAAUAUUGCACAAUGGGGGAAACCCUGAUGCAGCGACGCCGCGUGAGUGAAGAAGUAUUUCGGUAUGUAAAGCUCUAUCAGCAGGGAAGAAGAAAGACGGUACCUGACUAAGAAGCCCCGGCUAACUACGUGCCAGCAGCCGCGGUAAUACGUAGGGGGCAAGCGUUAUCCGGAUUUACUGGGUGUAAAGGGGGCGCAGACGGCGAUGCAAGCCAGGAGUGAAAGCCCGGGGCCCAACCCCGGGACUGCUCUUGGAACUGCGUGGCUGGAGUGCAGGAGGGGCAGGCGGAAUUCCUGGUGUAGCGGUGAAAUGCGUAGAUAUCAGGAGGAACACCGGUGGCGAAGGCGGCCUGCUGGACUGCAACUGACGUUGAGGCCCGAAAGCGUGGGGAGCAAACAGGAUUAGAUACCCCCGUA